rnacentral:rRNA from 1 species
GAGUUUGAUCGUGGCUCAGAUUGAACGCUGGCGGCAUGCCUAACACAUGCAAGUCGAACGGCAGCACUGGGAGCUUGCUCCCUGGUGGCGAGUGGCGGACGGGUGAGUAACGCGUAGGAAUCUGCCUCAUAGCGGGGGACAACUCGGGGAAACUCGAGCUAAUACCGCAUACUACUCGAGAGAGGAAAGCAGGGGACCUUCGGGCCUUGCACUAUGAGAUGAGCCUGCGUUGGAUUAGCUAGUUGGUAGGGUAAAGGCCUACCAAGGCGACGAUCCAUAACUGGUUUGAGAGGAUGACCAGUCACACUGGGACUGAGACACGGCCCAGACUCCUACGGGAGGCAGCAGUGGGGAAUAUUGGACAAGUGGGGAAACCCUGAUCCAGCAAUGCCGCGUGUGUGAAGAGGCCGUG